rnacentral:lncRNA from 1 species
CCUGACCUGACCAUGUUUUCCAGUUAGUUCCUAAUAUAAAAAAAGGCAUUAUUUGUACUGGUCGAAGAGUAACUGGGCCAUCUUUCCAGCAUGGCCCACUAUCGGUAUUGGGGGUUUGAAUGAGCAGUAGACCAUAUGCAUGUAAGAGGACUCCAUGGCUACAUACAUCUUGGACUAUUUAAGCAUCAUCGAGACACUGAUCUUCGUCUCCAAGUCCCUCACUUCUUUGUGUCCAAACUCCCAACGUUAUAGCUACUGUUCAAACUAUAAGAUGUACUCGAUUGAUGACAUGACCCGCAAAAAAUAAAAGAUUGAUGGCAUGGAUUUUUCUCCUUGUUUAUUUAGAAGAAAGAAACAUUUCAAGCAUCUAGUAGGCAUGGGAGGCACAGGGAAAUAAUGAGUCAAUUGCGGUGUUGAAUUUUGUACAGCAAGUGAGCUAAAUUCAACUGUUGUCUUUGGAAUAACUUGUGCGCCAAGAUGUUACCAUUUUAGGUUGACUCUUGUUCAAUCGUACAUGCACACACACACGUCAUGCAUGUAGAUAACUAACAAACCAAGCAGGUCCAGUAGGACCAGCGUCAAGAGAGCAAGCAAGGAUAGGUAGCUAUUCAGGCAUGCACUUGCCACAUUUUCUUAUAUAUCCAUGAAGUGAUGGAAAAUGGACUUACAAAUUCCGUACCACAGCGAGAUGAAGCUGGGUUUGCCAAAAUCUGAAACAAGCAGAGAGAUUUCUUGUGUAAGAACUUGCAAGAUAUUGCUAUCUUGUGGUUGCUAAAGUUGUAGCUUCUUCAAGCAUAUAAGGUUCAAUCCUGCGUGAAUCGUGAUCACGGAUCAAAAGAAGAAGAAAAAUGCGUGUUAAUCAUUCACGGAUCAAUUUUCACCCUGGCUCAUUAGUUUUAGGCACUCCUAUACAUUUGGAAAAAAAAUGCAACCAAAACGAAUUUAUUCAGCAAAAAGGAGACUACCACAACAAUGAGCUGGAAGGCCACGUCCCACACUACCUACUCAGAGAAUACAAAGAACUUGAGCAAACACAACCACCUACUCCCAUCAUUGCCUAAACUAACAUAUUGGAUUUUCUGUUCAUGCGGGUCGGGUGGACCCAUACUUUUCUCAAUUUAGUUGUUUUUGUUGCUUCUUCCUCUAAAUUUCUGCUAGGGAAAUUAAUCUACUCCCUUCAUCCUAAAAUAAGUGUCUC